UACAUGAUUCUAAAUGUUGUGGGCUUGAUAUUUACGUGAAAAUCUUGCUUGGCAAAAUUAGAAAGCCCAUCUACAAGAGAAUGAGCUCAACAUACAUAAAAUGAAAGAGCUGAGAGAUGGGGGGAAAUGCUGACUGUGUCAUCUGAGUCAACCAGACACUCUGGACAUCACAUGAUUAACGACCUUGC